rnacentral:rRNA from 1 species
GUGAUGACGAGGCACCACGGUGCUGAAGUGACAAAUGCCCUGCUUCCAGGAAAAGCCUCUAAGCAUCAGGUAACAUCAAAUCGUACCCCAAACCGACACAGGUGGUCAGGUAGAGAAUACCAAGGCGCUUGAGAGAACUCGGGUGAAGGAACUAGGCAAAAUGGUGCCGUAACUUCGGGAGAAGGCACGCUGACAUGUAGGUGAAGCCCCUGCGGGUGGAGCUGAAGUCAGUCGAAGAUACCAGCUGGCUGCAACUGUUUAUUAAAAACACAGCACUGUGCAAACACGAAAGUGGACGUAUACGGUGUGACGCCUGCCCGGUGCCGGAAGGUUAAUUGAUGGGGUUAUCGCAAGAGAAGCUCCUGAUCGAAGCCCCGGUAAACGGCGGCCGUAACUAUAACGGUCCUAAGGUAGCGAAAUUCCUUGUCGGGUAAGUUCCGACCUGCACGAAUGGCGUAAUGAUGGCCAGGCUGUCUCCACCCGAGACUCAGUGAAAUUGAACUCGCUGUGAAGAUGCAGUGUACCCGCGGCAAGACGGAAAGACCCCGUGAACCUUUACUACAGCUUGACACUGAACAUUGAGCCUUGAUGUGUAGGAUAGGUGGGAGGCUUUGAAGCGUGGACGCCAGUCUGCGUGGAGCCGACCUUGAAAUACCACCCUUUAAUGUUUGAUGUUCUAACCUGGCGCCGUGAUCCGGCGUGGGGACAGUGUCUGGUGGGUAGUUUGACUGGGGCGGUCUCCUCCCAAAGUGUAACGGAGGAGCACGAAGGUCAGCUAAUCCUGGUCGGACAUCAGGAGGUUAGUGCAAUGGCAUAAGCUGGCUUGACUGCGAGAGUGACGGCUCGAGCAGGUGCGAAAGCAGGUCAUAGUGAUCCGGUGGUUCUGUAUGGAAGGGCCAUCGCUCAACGGAUAAAAGGUACUCCGGGGAUAACAGGCUGAUACCGCCCAAGAGUUCAUAUCGACGGCGGUGUUUGGCACCUCGAUGUCGGCUCAUCACAUCCUGGGGCUGAAGUAGGUCCCAAGGGUAUGGCUGUUCGCCAUUUAAAGUGGUACGCGAGCUGGGUUUAGAACGUCGUGAGACAGUUCGGUCCCUAUCUGCCGUGGGCGCUGGAGAAUUGAGGGGGGCUGCUCCCAGUACGAGAGGACCGGAGUGGACGCAUCACUGGUGUUCGGGUUGUCAUGCCAAUGGCACUGCCCGGUAGCUAAAUGCGGAAGAGAUAAGUGCUGAAAGCAUCUAAGCACGAAACUUGCCCCGAGAUGAGUUCUCCCUGAGACUGUAAGUCUCCUGAAGGAACGUUGAAGACGACGACGUUGAUAGGCCGGGUGUGUAAGCGCAGCGAUGCGUUGAGCUAACCGGUACUAAUGAACCGUGAGGCUUAACCUUACAACGCCAAAGAAGU